rfam:Neisseria mucosa ATCC 25996 N_mucosa-1.0.2_Cont7.1, whole genome shotgun sequence.
UUUUUCUUGUCGGAGUGCUGCUUGUUCCCGCAAACAGCUGAGACCGCGCCAGCGGAAUCCGUAGAACCUGUCGGGGUAAUGCCUGCGUAGGAAACAAGCUGUCAAACGCC